rnacentral:rRNA from 1 species
UAGGGAAUCUUCCACAAUGGGCGGCAAGCCUGAUGGAGCAACGCCGCGUGAGUGAAGAAGGGUUUCGGCUCGUAAAACUCUGUUGUUAAAGAAGAACAUAUCUGAGAGUAACUGUUCAGGUAUUGACGGUAUUAACCAGAAAGCCACGGCUAACUACGUGCCAG